UACGUAGGGUGCAGGCGUAAUCGGAAUUACUGGGCGUAAAGCGUGCGCAGGCGGCUCCUUAAGUCAGAUGUGAAAGCCCCGGGCUUAACCUGGGAACUGCGUUUGAAACUGGGGAGCUAGAGUGUGGAAGAGGGGGGUGGAAUUCCAGGUGUAGCAGUGAAAUGCGUAGAUAUCCGGAAGAACACCGGUGGCGAAGGCGGUCGACUGGGCCAGAACUGACGCUGAGGCGCGACAGCGUGGGGGAGCAAACAGG
rnacentral:rRNA from 1 species